GAUGAACGCUGGCGGCGUGCCUAAUACAUGCAAGUCGAGCGAACGGACGAGAAGCUUGCUUCUCUGAUGUUAGCGGCGGACGGGUGAGUAACACGUGGAUAACCUACCUAUAAGACUGGGAUAACUUCGGGAAACCGGAGCUAAUACCGGAUAAUAUUUUGAACCGCAUGGUUCAAAAGUGAAAGACGGUCUUGCUGUCACUUAUAGAUGGAUCCGCGCUGCAUUAGCUAGUUGGUAAGGUAACGGCUUACCAAGGCAACGAUGCAUAGCCGACCUGAGAGGGUGAUCGGCGCCACUGGAACUGAGACACGGUCCAGACUCCUACGGGAGGCAGCAGUAGGGAAUCUUCCGCAAUGGGCGAAAGCCUGACGGAGCAACGCCGCGUGAGUGAUGAAGGUCUUCGGAUCGUAAAACUCUGUUAUUAGGGAAGAACAUAUGUGUAAGUAACUGUGCACAUCUUGACGGUACCUAAUCAGAAAGCCACGGCUAACUACGUG
rnacentral:rRNA from 1 species